AGCUUGCUCCCUGAGAUUAGCGGCGGACGGGUGAGUAACACGUGGGCAACCUGCCUAUAAGACUGGGAUAACUUCGGGAAACCGGAGCUAAUACCGGAUACGUUCUUUUCUCGCAUGAGAGAAGAUGGAAAGACGGUUUACGCUGUCACUUAUAGAUGGGCCCGCGGCGCAUUAGCUAGUUGGUGAGGUAAUGGCUCACCAAGGCGACGAUGCGUAGCCGACCUGAGAGGGUGAUCGGCCACACUGGGACUGAGACACGGCCCAGACUCCUACGGGAGGCAGCAGUAGGGAAUCUUCCGCAAUGGACGAAAGUCUGACGGAGCAACGCCGCGUGAACGAAGAAGGCCUUCGGGUCGUAAAGUUCUGUUGUUAGGGAAGAACAAGUACCAGAGUAACUGCUGGUACCUUGACGGUACCUAACCAGAAAGCCACGGCUAACUACGUGCCAGCAGCCGCGGUAAUACGUAGGUGGCAAGCGUUGUCCGGAAUUAUUGGGCGUAAAGCGCGCGCAGGUGGUUCCUUAAGUCUGAUGUGAAAGCCCACGGCUCAACCGUGGAGGGUCAUUGGAAACUGGGGAACUUGAGUGCAGAAGAGGAAAGUGGAAUUCCAAGUGUAGCGGUGAAAUGCGUAGAGAUUUGGAGGAACACCAG
rnacentral:rRNA from 1 species